GGGACGUUCUUUAAAGUGCAGAUUCUUGGGGCUUAACUCCUAACUAUGAAUCUCCAAGGGAGAGAUCCAGGAGUCUCUAUCUUCAUAACCAUCCCACGGACGCAGGGAUCAGUCCUCCCAGCUCUGCGAGGAAAGCCCCUGGGAGCAGAGCCGCCGGCUGCCCAGGCGGCCGUGGUAAUGAAGUGUCCCUGGGCAGCCCUGGAGUUAGCCAAAUGGUCAUUAAAUGUGAUGAGGGGUUUGACGGUUAA